rnacentral:rRNA from 1 species
UACAGAGGUCUCAAGCGUUGUUCGGAUUCAUUGGGCGUAAAGGGUGCGUAGGCGGCUCGGUAAGUCGGAUGUGAAAUCUCGGAGCUUAACUUCGAAAAUGCAUUCGAUACUGCCGUGCUUGAGGACUGGAGAGGAGACUGGAAUUUACGGUGUAGCGGUGAAAUGCGUAGAUAUCGUAAGGAAGACCAGUGGCGAAGGCGGGUCUCUGGACAGUCACUGACGCUGAGGCACGAAGGUCAGGGGAGCAAACGGG